GCAAGUCGAACGCUUCUUUUUCCACCGGAGCUUGCUCCACCGGAAAAAGAGGAGUGGCGAACGGGUGAGUAACACGUGGGUAACCUGCCCAUCAGAAGGGGAUAACACUUGGAAACAGGUGCUAAUACCGUAUAACAAUCAAAACCGCAUGGUUUUGAUUUGAAAGGCGCUUUCGGGUGUCGCUGAUGGAUGGACCCGCGGUGCAUUAGCUAGUUGGUGAGGUAACGGCUCACCAAGGCCACGAUGCAUAGCCAACCUGAGAGGGUGAUCGGCCACAUUGGGACUGAGACACGGCCCAAACUCCUACGGGAGGCAGCAGUAGGGAAUCUUCGGCAAUGGACGAAAGUCUGACCGAGCAACGCCGCGUGAGUGAAGAAGGUUUUCGGAUCGUAAAACUCUGUUGUUAGAGAAGAACAAGGAUGAGAGUAACUGUUCAUCCCUUGACGGUAUCUAACCAGAAAGCCACGGCUAACUACGUGCCAGCAGCCGCGGUAAUACGUAGGUGGCAAGCGUUGUCCGGAUUUAUUGGGCGUAAAGCGAGCGCAGGCGGUUUCUUAAGUCUGAUGUGAAAGCCCCCGGCUCAACCGGGGAGGGUCAUUGGAAACUGGGAGACUUGAGUGCAAAAGAGGAGAGUGGAAUUCCAUGUGUACCGGUGAAAUGCGUAAAUAUAUGGAGGAACACCAGUGGCAAAGGCGGCUCUCUGGUCU
rnacentral:rRNA from 1 species